rnacentral:rRNA from 1 species
UACAGAGGGUGCGAGCGUUGUUCGGAAUUAUUGGGCGUAAAGGGCGCGUAGGCGGUCUGAUAAGUCUUGUGUGAAAUCUCUGGGCUCAACCCAGAGUCUGCACAGGAAACUGUCGGGCUUGAGUAUGGGAGAGGUGCGUGGAAUUUCCGGUGUAGCGGUGAAAUGCGUAGAUAUCGGAAGGAACACCUGUGGCGAAAGCGGCGCACUGGACCAAAACUGACGCUGAGGCGCGAAAGCUAGGGGAGCAAACAGG